AAAAUGUGAGAAAUUAUCUUCUAACCAUUUCAUAUCUAUUCGGUUACUACUAAACUUAUUCAGCAUAUUGCCUAAUAGUCGGUGGCAAAUUGGCCUUCAAUCCCCAUUGUGCAGUGCUCCCGUAACGACUACCACAUUUGUCACGCCCUAAAGGCGAUAAAUCCAAAAAGGGUGAGUAAGGUAUGUAUGUAAACUAUUUUGGCGCACUAUACUAGUAUAAUAUGCCACCCUAACUUGCCAACAAAUUAGAGUAUUG
rnacentral:lncRNA from 1 species